UACACCUCUUCCAGAGCUGGAAUACCUCAGAAGGAUCAGACUGAUGAGACCCCGAGCAUAGGUGCAACUUCUUAUGUAACAGAUCGUUGAAUUUUUUUUUUGGAGUGCUGCUUUUGAUAGAGAAUAUUUCAUCCGCAUGUAAACAGAUCAAAUGCAGGGCAACCUAGAGUAUAGCAACUUGAUUCCCUAACAUCCAAGUGAGACAGCGCUUGCUGAUGUUUCGAGAAAUUAGUUGAUUGGUAGGCUAGUAGUUAUGGUGUGGAAUCCCCAGCACAGCCGAGAGGGUACCCUCCUCCAUUGAACUCAAAAAAAAAAGGAAAAAAAGAAAAAGAAAAUCCUAAAGUCAUGGUCGAGGACUUUCCCACAGUGACCAUGAAGAAAUCCAGACUAAAGAAAAAGAAGCAAAGGACAGAGAGGGCAAAUCUAAGAAACCUGGGAAGUAGGCAACGAUGGGUGAAUCUCACUUUGGAAAACGUAAUGGGAGCUUUAAAACUGGAAUCUCUUGCAAAGCAACUGGUUCAUCCAUUCAACACGUGCCUGGAUGUAAGAACAGGUUGAUCAAUAGAUUUUUAUUUUAUUUCUGCAUUUGAUCAUUGUGUGCCAUGCUAUUUGUAAUUUG